GUGGGGAAUAUUGGACAAUGGGCGCAAGCCUGAUGCAGCAACGCCGCGUGAGGGAUGACGGCCUUCGGGUUGUAAACCUCUUUUAGUAGGGAAGAAGCGAAAGUGACGGUACCUGCAGAAAAAGCACCGGCUAACUACGUGCCAGCAGCCGCGGUAAUACGUAGGGUGCAAGCGUUGUCCGGAAUUAUUGGGCGUAAAGAGCUCGUAGGCGGCUUGUCGCGUCUGCUGUGAAAUCCCGGGGCUCAACCCCGGGCCUGCAGUGGGUACGGGCAGGCUAGAGUGCGGUAGGGGAGAUUGGAAUUCCUGGUGUAGCGGUGGAAUGCGCAGAUAUCAGGAGGAACACCGAUGGCGAAGGCAGAUCUCUGGGCCGCUACUGACGCUGAGGAGCGAAAGCAUGGGGAGCGAACAGGAUUAGAUACCCUAGUAGUCC
rnacentral:rRNA from 1 species